AGGUAUGCCAUAAUGGCACCUUCUGCCUUCCAGAUUCUUGGUGCCACCAUUGAGAACUCGAAGAUUGUCCUGCAGAUUGACAAUGCCCGUCUGGCUGCAGAUG
rnacentral:miRNA from 1 species